UUGUUGUUGUUGUUGUUGUUGUUGUUGUUGUUGUUGUUGUUGUUGUUGUUGUUGUUGUUGUUGUUGUUGUUGUUGUUGUUGUUGUUGUUGUUGUUGUUGUUGUUGUUGUUGUUGUUGUUGUUGUUGUUGUUGCCCAUCAUCAAUGGGCUCAUUAUGUCGAUCACUGAAGAUUUGGAAGGAUCGGAGAGCGUGGAUUCCCUAACGAGGACGAAAGUAGGAUGAC
rnacentral:lncRNA from 1 species